ACUUAGAAGGCAAAGCUGCCAAUGGAUACUUCAUCUGGCAUAGCCUAGAUUUGUGUCUAGGCCCUUGGGACCUUUAUCACUCUUAUCCCCAGGUGGCUUCAACGAAGACACAAGAUCUGGAGAGGAGUUUGUAGAACAGGUUCCUGUGGUGGAUGUGCAAAGUGACAACUUCAAGGAGAUAUGGCCUUCCCUUCUGCUGGCCUUAAAGACAGCUGGCUUUGUGGCUGUGGAUACGGAACUGAGUGGGCUUGGAGACAGGAAGAGUUUGCUGAACCAGUGCAUCGAAGAACGUUACAAGGCCGUGUGU